rnacentral:rRNA from 1 species
GAUGAACGCUGGCGGCGUGCCUAAUACAUGCAAGUCGAGCGAACAGACGAGGAGCUUGCUCCUUUGACGUUAGCGGCGGACGGGUGAGUAACACGUGGAUAACCUACCUAUAAGACUGGGAUAACUUCGGGAAACCGGAGCUAAUACCGGAUAAUAUAUUGAACCGCAUGGUUCAAUAGUGAAAGACGGUUUUGCUGUCACUUAUAGAUGGAUCCGCGCCGCAUUAGCUAGUUGGUAAGGUAACGGCUACCAAGGCGACGAUGCGUAGCCGACCUGAGAGGGUGAUCGGCCACACUGGAACUGAGACACGGUCCAGACUCCUACGGGAGGCAGCAGUAGGGAAUCUUCCGCAAUGGGCGAAAGCCUGACGGAGCAACGCCGCGUGAGUGAUGAAGGUCUUCGGAUCGUAAAACUCUGUUAUUAGGGAAGAACAAAUGUGUAAGUAACUAUGCACGUCUUGACGGUACCUAAUCAGAAAGCCACGGCUAACUACGUG